rnacentral:rRNA from 1 species
AAAGACCUUGCGCUUUUGGAGCGGCCGAUGUCUGAUUAGCUAGUUGGUAAGGUAAAGGCUUACCAAGGCAACGAU